CACGUAGGGGGCAAGCGUUGUCCGGAUUUAUUGGGCGUAAAGAGCUCGUAGGCGGCUCGGUAAGUCGGGUGUGAAACCUCCAGGCUCAACCUGGAGACGCCACCUGAUACUGCUGUGGCUAGAGUCCGGUAGGGGAGUGUGGAACUCCUGGUGUAGCGGUGAAAUGCGCAGAUAUCAGGAAGAACACCAGCGGCGAAGGCGGCACUCUGGGCCGGAACUGACACUGAGGAGCGAAAGCGUGGGUAGCAAACAGG
rnacentral:rRNA from 1 species